rnacentral:rRNA from 1 species
AUUGAACGCUGGCGGCAUGCUUUACACAUGCAAGUCGAACGGUAGAGGGGGCAACCCCUUGAGAGUGGCGAACGGGUGAGUAAUAUAUCGGAACGUGCCCAGUCGUGGGGAUAACGUAGCGAAAGUUACGCUAAUACCGCAUACGAUCUAAGGAUGAAAGCGGGGGAUCGCAAGACCUCGCGCGAUUGGAGCGGCCGAUAUCAGAUUAGGUAGUUGGUGAGGUAAAGGCUCACCAAGCCAACGAUCUGUAGCUGGUCUGAGAGGACGACCAGCCACACUGGAACUGAGACACGGUCCAGACUCCUACGGGAGGCAGCAGUGGGGAAUUUUGGACAAUGGGGGAAACCCUGAUCCAGCCAUGCCGCGUGAGUGAUGAAGGCC